GGCCAGGAUGGUGAAGUGGUUUGAGUGUUGGACUAGGAUUCUGGAGACCAGGGUUCAAAUCCCUGCUUGGCCA